UGAGGAAUAUUGGUCAAUGGGCGCAAGCCUGAACCAGCCAUCCCGCGUGAAGGAUGACGGCCCUAUGGGUUGUAAACUUCUUUUAUACAGGAAGAAAAAUCCCUACGUGUAGGGACUUGCCGGUACUGUAUGAAUAAGCAUCGGCUAACUCCGUGCCAGCAGCCGCGGUAAUACGGAGGAUGCAAGCGUUAUCCGGAUUCAUUGGGUUUAAAGGGUGCGUAGGCGGCUCUUUAAGUCAGUGGUGAAAUCCUGUCGCUCAACGAUAGAAUUGCCAUUGAUACUGAAGAGCUUGAGUUCAGUUGAGGUAAGCGGAAUGUGUAGUGUAGCGGUGAAAUGCUUAGAUAUUACACAGAACACCGAUUGCGAAGGCAGCUUACUAAACUGACACUGACGCUGAUGCACGAAAGCGUGGGGAUCGAACAGG
rnacentral:rRNA from 2 species